UAACCUGCCUUGGAUGGGGAAUAACAGCUGGAAACAGCUGCUAAUACCGCAUAAUGCAGUUGGGUCGCAUGGCUCUGACUGCCAAAGAUUUAUCGCUCUGAGAUGGACUCGCGUCUGAUUAGCUAGUUGGUGGGGCAACGGCCCACCAAGGCGACGAUCAGUAGCCGGACUGAGAGGUUGGCCGGCCACAUUGGGACUGAGACACGGCCCAGACUCCUACGGAAGGCAGCAG
rnacentral:rRNA from 1 species